rfam:Procavia capensis cont1.283045, whole genome shotgun sequence.
AGGGGCUCAUUAGGCAGAGCGGGGUGCCUCGAGGUGCGGGACGCCGACCCCGGAGGCCUCCUUUGAGUCGAUGGGGCGGCUUCAUUAAGCGGCGCUAACAAGGCGAACAAAUGCAGGGCCCAGAAGCUUUCUUGCAGCGCCGGCGCCUUAGCAGGGCGCCAGGCUAAUGAGGGUCACUCAAAGAGGCUGAUCAAAUAUUCAAAUUUCCCGGCACGCCGGGAACUUUUAUGCCAGGAGAAAGUUGAGGCAACUGAGCUGUGUUUACUGUUCAG